rnacentral:rRNA from 1 species
GACGAACGCUGGCGGCGUGCUUAACACAUGCAAGUCGAACGGAAAGGCCCUGCUUGCAGGGUACUCGAGUGGCGAACGGGUGAGUAACACGUGGGUGAUCUGCCCUGCACUUCGGGAUAAGCCUGGGAAACUGGGUCUAAUACCGGAUAGGAGCCAUUUUUAGUGUGAUGGUUGGAAAGUUUUUUCGGUGUAGGAUGAGCUCGCGGCCUAUCAGCUUGUUGGUGGGGUAAUGGCCUACCAAGGCGGCGACGGGUAGCCGGCCUGAGAGGGUGGACGGCCACAUUGGGACUGAGAUACGGCCCAGACUCCUACGGGAGGCAGCAGUGGGGAAUAUUGCACAAUGGGCGCAAGCCUGAUGCAGCGACGCCGCGUGGGGGAUGACGGCCUUCGGGUUGUAAACUCCUUUCGCUAGGGACGAAGCUUUUUGUGCCGGUACCUAGAUAAGAAGCACCGGCUAACUACGUG